rnacentral:misc_RNA from 1 species
GCUGAAGAACGCAGCAAAAUGCGAUAAGUAGUGUGAAUUGCAGAAUUCAGUGAAUCAUCGAAUCUUUGAACGCACAUUGCGCCCCUUGGUAUUCCAUGGGGCAUGCCUGUUCGAGCGUCAUAUGUACCUUCAAGCUCUGCUUGGUGUUGGGCGUUUGUCAGUUUGACUCGCCUUAAAAUCACUGGCUAUCGGUGGUGAUGGAUCAAGCGCAGUAGAUCUCGCGCUUCGCUGUUGCUACCAUGGCCACGAAAUCUACAGUUUGACCUCGGAUCAGGUAGGGAUACCCGCUGAACUUAAGCAUAUCAAUAAGCGGAGGA